rnacentral:rRNA from 1 species
ACGGGAGGCAGCAGUGGGGAAUAUUGCGCAAUGGAGGAAACUCUGACGCAGCGACGCCGCGUGAAGGAAGAAGGUCUUCGGAUUGUAAACUUCUGUCCUCAGGGAAGAAACAAAUGACGGUACCUGGGGAGGAAGCCCCGGCUAACUACGUGCCAGCAGCCGCGGUAAUACGUAGGGGGCAAGCGUUGUCCGGAAUUAUUGGGUGUAAAGGGCGCGUAGGCGGCUUUGCAAGUCAUGCGUGAAAUCUAUAGGCUUAACCUAUAGCCUGCGUUUGAAACUGCGGAGCUUGAGUAAAGUAGAGGCAAGUGGAAUUUCCAGUGUAGCGGUGAAAUGCGUAGAUAUUGGAAGGAACACCGGUGGCGAAGGCGACUUGCUGGGCUUUCACUGACGCUGAGGCGCGAAAGCGUGGGUAGCAAACAGGAUUAGAUACCCUGGUA